rnacentral:tRNA from 1 species
GGCCAGAUGUUGUAGUUUGAUAAUAUGUAUCCUCAACACGGACAAGGUCCUGAGUUCAAGCCUUAGUUCGGUCA